rnacentral:rRNA from 1 species
UACGCAGGUGGCGAGCGUUGUCCGGAGUUACUGGGUGUAAAGGGCGUGUAGGCGGGAUAUUAAGUCAGAUGUGAAAUUCUAAGGCUCAACCUUAGCGCUGCAUCUGAAACUAAUGUUCUUGAGUGCUGGAGAGGAAAGCGGAAUUCCUAGUGUAGCGGUGAAAUGCGUAGAUAUUAGGAGGAACACCAGUGGCGAAGGCGGCUUUCUGGACAGUAACUGACGCUGAGGCGCGAAAGCGUGGGGAGCAAACAGG